rfam:Prochlorococcus marinus str. MIT 9211, complete genome.
AUAUGUAGAGUGUUGUAUUAGUUCCUCUAGGUAGGCAGGCCUAAGGGAAAUACUUUCGCAUUGCCAUAACAGGCAUACUGCUAA